GGGAGAUGGCAGCACAUCAUAAACUGCCCCCCAUCAUAAAUCUAAUCCUACUAGCCUCCAUGCUCCACAGCUCUCUCACGCUCUCACGACACCUUUCUUUUCUCUACACUCUCCCAGUUCACCCACUGUCCUUGCUUAGCCUGCGACACUGCCUUCAUGCAUCUCAUUGCUUCCUCUUGCCUAUGAAUUUCCUCCACUACCAUCUUCCUCUUUUCCGCCGUGGACGCCUUGCUCCACGGCGCCCCUGCACACAGUCCCAGGCCUCCACGCCCUUGCUGCACACGCCCCAUGAUAUCCCUAAGCCUGAGGGCAGCCUGCGCCUCCUGAACCGCAUAUCUUGGGUUCCACUUUCUCCCUGUUUUAACUGUUUUUGUUUAACAUACUGUGUAGUUAUAACACAAAUAAUAUUAUGAUGGUAGGGCAGGACAAGAGGUGAUGGAUUCCAUUGCAAUAGAAGAAGAGGAGGCAUCAAUGCCUGGACCAUCCAGAGGUACAGCAGUUGUUGAAGAUGGUAGGUGCGGUUCAGGCUUAGCAGUGGCAUAGGGAAAGACGCACUGUUUGAAUAUUAAAUUGUUUGCUUUUGAUGUCUUUCCUUAGAUAAUGAAACAACCACUGUUCUAUUUGUUUUUUGUUCAUAUUAGACUGGUUAACUGUCAGUGACCCCAACAAGGCCAUAUCACAGUGUGCGGACAAUUUUCUACGUGUCCAUGAAUCCAAAAGUCCACUGCUUCUCAGCAUGGACAUCAGAAAAAGUCCUGCUGAGCAGGACGUGGCACUUCUAUCAUUCUACGAGCGACCUAAUGUGGAAUGGGGACGACCCUUGAAUUACAAACCUUAAGGAGACACUGUUAUUGGACAUGUGGUGAAUCGUUUUUUUUCUCCAUGUGCAUUGACAAGUUGAGGUCAGGCUUUUGCAUCAAUUUUGGUAUGUAUAUAACAGAAUCCUUCCAAAUGCAAGCUGUACAACAAUAUUUAUUCUUCUGUCUGUAAAGGUCUAUGGUAUUUUGAUACGUUUGCUUUGUUUUAUACCGAAUGUUUGAUGGGUUAAUCUAAAUGUAUAAAGCUUGUAUUGAAGAUAUCUAGGUUUUCCAGUCCAUCAUAAAACUGAAAUGCAUUUUCUGACAACUACUCACUUUCACAUUCAUCUUUGUACUCUUUAAGAAGGCUUAUUACUUUUCUUUGUUGUCCUUAAUUCGUAUUUUUUGAUAUAUUGACAGCAAAUUCAAGCCUUACACGGCUCUUUGAAGGAGAGCCUGGCCAUUUAGUUCCCUCAGCUGCGCAUUUUCUUGUGGAAAGUGACAUGUUCAUGGGGGCGGGCAGAAUGAUAGGCCACUCCUUCCUUCCUUCAUGGUGGACCUUGCCUGCCGGGACUCAGCCCUGCUGUUACCCAUGUGUUACUUGGUGGAAGUCAAGAAACAGCGACAGUUACACUGGAGGACUGUCCAGAUGUGGACAUUAGAGAAACUAUCAGGCUUCUUGAAGGGGGGUCCAUACUCUCAGAAAAGGAAAAGCAAAGUGUCCAGGACUUGGCCAUUGCAUGGGACCUCCCUUCCUUAGGGGGAACAGAAAGUCUGAAUCCGGCCCCAGAGCCAAACUGAGUUUGACAUGCCUGUCUUACAGCCUCCACCUGCUUUGAGACCUUGCGCAUUCCAGGACAUUACAAGGACUACACAUUUUUUAAACAAGAUAUCCUGGCAUGUAUUUGGACUUGUCAUACAGGAUUUGGGUUUAUCUGAAUGACAUCUGGGUCUGUAUUUACACAGAUUUUUGCAUGUUAGUUGUUAGCAGUUGUUGUGUUUUGGACAAAUGCAACUAGGACUAUAAGCCAUAGAUUUCAGACCAAGCAC